UACGUAGGGUCCGAGCGUUGUCCGGAAUUAUUGGGCGUAAAGAGCUCGUAGGCGGCUUGUCGCGUCGGAUGUGAAAGCCCGGGGCUUAACCCCGGGUCUGCAUUCGAUACGGGCAGGCUGGAGUGUGGUAGGGGAGAUCGGAAUUCCUGGUGUAGCGGUGAAAUGCGCAGAUAUCAGGAGGAACACCGGUGGCGAAGGCGGAUCUCUGGGCCAUUACUGACGCUGAGGAGCGAAAGCGUGGGGAGCGAACAGG
rnacentral:rRNA from 1 species